AUAAAUAAGCGGAGGAAAAGAAACCAAACGGGAUUCCCUUAGUAACGGCGAGCGAACAGGGAGCAGCCCAGCGCCAAGGCUUAACACUUGACGUGUUUAAGCGAUGCGGCGUUAGUGUAUUAGUGCAUCGUACACUGCCUUGUGCUUUAAAUUCCUUUGACAGGGAUUCCCAGAGUGGGUGCUAGGCCCAUAAAGGCUGCGAGGCUGGUGUACGCAAACUAAUGCAUUUUAGAGUCAGGUUACUUGAGAGUGUAACCCAAAGUGGGUGGUAAACUCCAUCUAAGGCUAAAUAUUGCAGCGUGACCGAUAGCAAACAAGUACCGUGAGGGAAAGUUGCAAAGAACUUUGAAGAGAGAGUUCAAUAGGACGUGAAACCACUGACAGGCAAACGGGUGGAACCACGAAGUGUGCCUUGUGAGCAAUUCAGCUAUAAUUAGUAAUUUGUGUCGCCUACAGUGGGUUACUCUUUUGUGGCCUGUGUUAGUGAUAUAUGCAAUUGCUGAUUGUAGUGCAUUUUGUCUUACAAGUGCUAAAGCCACGUCCGAUUAGGUGGCUGGAAUGGCCGUAGUGAAUGAUGCAAGGAAGGUGGCUGUCUAUUUUGGGCUUGCUCAUUUUAGUACAGUGUUAUAGCCUUGUCGUCUGUGCCAUUACCUAGCGUGCUGAUCGGUAUAAUAACUCCAAUUUGGAGUAUUGCCAGUAAAGGGUUGUUGCGCUUUGCAUUGCUAUGGCAGGUGUGCUAUUUUGCGCUUUUGUGUCUUCGGGCAUCAUAAGACGGAGUAGUAUCAAUUGUCAUUGGUAGUGAUUGCGUGAGCAACUUGUGCAAACAGUGGUGCGAGUAGGUCGGUCUCCACCCGACCCGUCUUGAAACACGGACCAAGGAGCCUAGCAUAUACGCGAGUCGCACGGUCUUGUUUAGGCCUGUGAGGCGCAAUGAAAGUAACUCGGCUACGAGGUUGGCCCCCGUGGCUGAUCGCAGUAGCGGCCCGCCGGCUUCCUUUAUCGGGGAUAUGGCGGAGUCGGAGCGUAUACGCUGGUACCCGAAAGAUGGUGAACUAUGCCUGGGCAAGACGAAGCCAGAGGAAACUCUGGUGGAGGUCUGUAGCGAUUCUGACGUGCAAAUCGAUCGUCAGACCUGGGUAUAGGGGCGAAAGACUAAUCGAACCAUCUAGUAGCUGGUUCCCUCCGAAGUUUCCCUCAGGAUAGCAGGCGCUUGUUUAAUCAGUCUCAUCCGGUAAAGCUAAUGAUUAGAGGUCUUGGGGCCGAAACGGCCUCAACCUAUUCUCAAACUUUAAAUGGGUGAGAUGCUUGACUUGCUUGAUUGAAGCCAAGCAAUUGGAUGUAAGUGCCUAGUGGGCCAGCUUUGGUAAGCAGAACUGGCGCUGUGGGAUGAACCAAACGUCGAGUUAAGGCAUCAAAUGCGUACGCUCAUCAGACCCCAUGAAAGGUGUUGGUUGCUAUAGACAGCAGGACGGUGGCCAUGGAAGUCGGAAUCCGCUAAGGAGUGUGUAACAACUCACCUGCCGAAGCAACUAGCCCUGAAAAUGGACGAUGCUGUAGCGUGGAGCCGAUACUCGACCGUCACCGACGAUCCGUCCAGAAUGCGAUGUCGUGACGAGUAGGAGGGCCGCAGUGGUAGCGUUGAAGGUGUCGGACGUGAGUCCGCCUGGAGCUGCCACUGAUGCAGAUCUUGGUAGUAGUAGCAAAUACUCAAGUGAGAAUCUUGAGGACUAACGUGGAGAAAGGUUCCAUGUGAACAGCAGUUGAACAUGGGUCAGUCGGUCCUAAGGGAGCGGAGAAAUCCGUUACAACGGCCACAAUUAAUCCAAUUUCACGAUUUGAUGAUACUGUGGACGAUUUCCCGAAAGGGCAUCGGGUUAAUAUUCCCGAACUCAGACACAGAGGGUGCAUCCUCGGAUGCGAAUGCGGUAACGCAGUCAAACUCGGAGACGUCGGCGGCAGCCCUAGGAAGAGUUGUCUUUUCUCUAUAAGGGGUCGACUCCAUGAAAACAGCUUGCCUGGAGAUAUGGAUGUUGACACCGAAGAGCCCCGCGGUUCUUGCGGGGUCUGGUGCGCUGCUGUCGGCCCUUGAAAAUCCGAGGGCGAACACUUACCUCUGUCCUGAGCCGUACUCAUAUCCGCAGCAGGUCUCCAAGGUUAACAGCCUCUAGUUUUUAGAAUAAUGUAGGUAAGGGAAGUCGGCAAAACCGAUCCGUAACUUCGGGAUAAGGAUUGGCUCUGAAGGAUGGGCCGGUCGGGCUGUGGCCAGAAGCGAGUGUUGCGCCUGACUGGGACUGGACACCGGCUCUCGGGCUGGAGUCUGGACCUGUGUUGGCGCCUGCUCGUGAACAGUCAUAGCUACGCCUUGGCACCCUGUGUGACAAGUGUCGUUUCGGCCGGCAUGCAACAUCUGACUCAGAACUGGCACGGACUCCGGGAAUCCGACUGUCUAAUUAAAACAAAGCAUUGCGAUGGCCGGUGAUCGGUGUUGACGCAAUGUGAU
rnacentral:rRNA from 1 species